ACGUAGCGAAAUGCGAUACUUGGUGUGAAUUGCAGAAUCCCGUGAACCAUCGAGUUUUUGAACGCAAGUUGCGCCCAAAGCCAUUAGGCUAAGGGCACGUCUGCCUGGGCGUCACGCAUCACGUCGCCCCAACCCCCCAAUUCCUAUGUACCUGGAUAUUGUGGGAGAUGGGG
rnacentral:rRNA from 1 species